UCGAGAAUCUUCGUCAAUGGGCGCAAGCCUGAACGAGCGACGCCGCGUGCGGGAUGAAGGCCUUCGGGUUGUAAACCGCUGUCAGUGGGGAGGAAAUCUACCGGGGUUCUCCCCGGUAGUUGACCUAUCCGCAGAGGAAGUACGGGCUAAGUUCGUGCCAGCAGCCGCGGUAACACGAACCGUACGAACGUUAUUCGGAAUUACUGGGCUUAAAGGGUGCGUAGGCGGCUCAGAAAGUUGGGUGUGAAAGCCCUCGGCUUAACCGAGGAACUGCGCCCAAUACUCCUGGGCUCGAGGGAGACAGAGGUGAGUGGAACUACGGGUGAGCGGUGAAAUGCGUUGAUAUCCGUAGGAACACCAGGGGCGAAAGCGGCUCACUGGGUCUCUUCUGACGCUGAGGCACGAAAGCCAGGGGAGCGAACGG
rnacentral:rRNA from 1 species